AACGAACGCUGGCGGCAGGCUUAACACAUGCAAGUCGAACGCACCGCAAGGUGAGUGGCAGACGGGUGAGUAACGCGUGGGAACGUGCCCUUCAGUUCGGAAUAACCCAGGGAAACUUGGGCUAAUACCGGAUACGUGCGAGAGCAGAAAGAUUUAUCGCUGAAGGAUCGGCCCGCGUCUGAUUAGCUAGUUGGUGGGGUAAUGGCCCACCAAGGCGACGAUCAGUAGCNGGUCUGAGAGGAUGAUCAGCCACAUUGGGACUGAGACACGGCCCAAACUCCUACGGGAGGCAGCAGUAGGGAAUAUUGGUCAAUGGACGCAAGUCUGAACCAGCCAUGCCGCGUGCAGGAAGACGGCCCUCUGGGUUGUAAACUGCUUUUGAUAGGGAACAAAUGCCACUUGCGAGUGGAGCUGAGUGUACCUAUAGAAUAAGCACCGGCUAACUCCGUGCCAGCCGCCGCCGUAA
rnacentral:rRNA from 1 species